CCUCCUCUUCCUCUUCUUCCUCCUCUUCCUCCUCUUCUUCUUCCUCCUCUUCCUUCUUUUCUUGCUCUUCCUGCUCUUCCUCCUCUUCUUUUUCCUUCUCUUCCUGCUCUGCUCCUUCAUUCUCUGCUCUUCAUCCUCUUCUUCCUCCUCAUCUUCCUCCUCCUCCUGCUGCUGCUCUUCCUCUUCCUCUCCUGUCUUCUCAUCGGCCUCUUCCUUCUCCUCUUCCUCCUCUGCUCUUCAUCCUCUUCUUCCUCUGCUUCUUCCUCCUCCUCCUGCUCAGCCUCUGGGCCCCCUCCUCUUCCUCCUCUUCCUCCUCUUCCUCCUCUUCCUCCUCUUCCUCCUCCUCCUCAGGGCUUUGGGAAGGAGCUGGGCCGGGGCUCUGUGGCCUUCCUCCCCCUCCUCCUCCUCCUCAGGGGUUCAGUUCUGGAGCUGCCCCUGGGCUGUCCCCGCUUCCUGCUCUUCCUCCCCUCCCUCCUCUUCCUCCCUUUCCCCUUCUUCCUUUUCUUCCUGCUCUUCCUCCCCUCCCUCCUCUUCCUCCCCUCCUUCCUCUUCCUUUUCUUUCUGCUCUUCCUCUUCAUCUUCUUGUUUUCUUCCUUCUUUUUUUGCUCUUUCUCCUCUUCCUCUUUUUUUUUGCUCUUCAUCUCUUCUUCUUCCUCCUCUUCCUCCUUUUCCUCUUCUUCCUCUUCCUCCUCUUCAUCUUUUCCUGUUCAUCCUCUUUUCCUCCUCUUCCGCCUCUUCCUCUUCUUCCUCCUCCUUCCUCUUCCUCCCAUUCUUCCUCUUUCUCCUCCUCCUUUUCCAUUUCUUUCCCUUUUUCUUCCAUUUUUUCCCAUCUUCCUCCUCCUCAUCUUCUCCUGCUCUUCCUCCCCUUCCUGCUCUUCCUCUUCCUCUUCUUCAUCUUUUCCUCCUCUUCCUCCCAUUCCUGCUCUUCCUCCUCCUUCUUUCCCAUUUCUUUCCCUUUUUCUUCCGUUUUUUCCCCUCUUCUUCCUCCUCCUCCUCCUCUUCCUCCCCUUCUCCUCCUCUGUUCAAUCAACGGCGCCGCCAAUUCCGGGAAUUUUGGGAAUUCCGGGAAUUUUGGGAAUUCUGUGGCUCCUUCGGGAAUUUCAGGGGGUUCAGGGAUUCCAGGAAUUUGGGGAAUUCUGAGAGGUUUUUUUAGGGAAUUCUAGGAGGGGGGCUUUUUUGCGGAAUUCCAGGAAUUUGAGGAAUUCUGGACGUUUUGGGAAUUCCAGGAAUUUGGAGAAU
rnacentral:lncRNA from 1 species